UCUUAUGCGAAGUCCUUAUUGAGGUUUUGC
rnacentral:piRNA from 1 species